UACGGGAGGCAGCAGUAGGGAAUAUUGCACAAUGGGGGAACACCCUGAUGCAGCGACGCCGCGUGAGUGAUUGAAGUAUUUCGGUAUGUAAAGCUCUAUCAGCAGGGAAGAUAAUGACGGUACCUGCAUAAGAAGCCCCGGCUAACUACGUGCCAGCAGCCGCGGUAAU
rnacentral:rRNA from 1 species